rnacentral:rRNA from 1 species
GAUGAACGCUGGCGGCGUGCCUAAUACAUGCAAGUCGAGCGAACGGACGAGAAGCUUUCUUCUCUUAUUUUAGCGUCGGGCGGGGGAGUAACACGUGUGUAACCUACCUAGAAGACUGGGAUAACUUCGUGAAACCGUAGCUAAUACCGGAUAAUAGUUUGAACCGCAUGGUUCAAGAGUGAAAGACGGUCUUGCUUUCACUGAUAGAUGGAUCCGCUCUGGAUUAGCUAGUUGGUAAGGUAACGGCUUACCAAGGCAACGAUGCAUAGCCGAUCUGAGAGGGUGAUCAGCCACACUGGAACUGAGACACGGUCCAGACUCCUACGGGAGGCAGCAGUAGGGAAUCUUGCGCAAUGGGCGAAAGCCUGACGGAGCAACGCCGCGUGUGUGAUGAAGGUCUUCGGAUUGUAAAACUCUGUUAGCAGGGAAGAACAUAUGUGUAAGUAACUCUUCACACAUUGACGUUACCUACACAGAAAGCCACGGCUAACUACGUG